CAAUAGCGUAUAUUAAUGUUGUUGCAGUUAAAAAGCUCGUAGUUGGAUUUCUGCGUGGCGCAACUCGGUCCGCCGCACUGCGGUGCGACUGUGGUUGGAGCCACGCUUCUUUGUGGGGACUACUUGUGCCAUUAAUUUGGUGUAUUUAGGAACUGCAUCGUUUACUGUGAAAAAAUUAGAGUGUUCAAAACAGGCUUACGCCGUUGAAUAUAUUAGCAUGGAAUAAUAAGAUAGGACCUUGGUACUAUUUUGUUGGUUUGCGCACCGAGGUAAUGAUUAACAGGGACAGUUGGGGGUAUUCGUAUUCCAUUGUCAGAGGUGAAAUUCUUGGAUUUCUGGAAGACGAACUACUGCGAANGNAUUUACNAAGGAUGUUUNCAUUA
rnacentral:rRNA from 1 species